UGAAGACUUCCACAAUGGACGCAAGUCUGAUGGAGCAACGCCGCGUGAGUGAAGAAGGUUUUCGGACCGUAAAGCUCUGUUGUUGGUGAAGAAGGAUAGAGGUAGUAACUGGCCUUUAUUUGACGGUAAUCAACCAGAAAGUCACGGCUAACUACGUGCCAGCAGCCGCGGUAAUACGUAGGUGGCAAGCGUUGUCCGGAUUUAUUGGGCGUAAAGCGAGCGCAGGCGGAAGAAUAAGUCUGAUGUGAAAGCCCUCGGCUUAACCGAGGAAUUGCAUCGGAAACUGUUUUCUUGAGUGCAGAAGAGGAGAGUAGAACUCCAUGUGUAGCGGUGGAAUGCGUAGAUAUAUGGAAGAAUACCAGUGGCGAAGGCGGCUCUCUGGUCUGCAACUGACGCUGAGGCUCGAAAGCAUGGGUAGCGAACAGGAUUAGAUACCCUGGUAGUCCAUGCCGUAAACGAUGAGUGCUAAGUGUUGGGAGGCUUCCGCCUCUCAGUGCUGCAGCUAACGCAUUAAGCACUCCGCCUGGGGGAGUACGACCGCAAGGUUGAAAC
rnacentral:rRNA from 1 species